UCAACUGCAAACUGAGCUAAGGCUUGCUCUGUCUUUGAUUGCUGAGAGGGACUCUGAGGUACAGCGAGUUCGCACUACAAACAAUCAGUACGUGGAAGAGAAUGAAAGGCUCAGAGCUAUUUUAGGGGAAUGGAGCACAAGAGCAGCGAAGCUUGAGCGAGCAUUGGAGGUUGAGCGUCUGUCAAAUCUUGAACUGCAAAGGAAGCUGUCAACUGGAAGAAUUCAAUGAAAUGGAUCACCUGAACAAAGCUAGCAGCACACAGCUUAGUUGCCCUGAAACUUUCCCAUAUUGUCAUUUCUCGGGAUUUUUUAGUUCCAUGAGGACAAGAAGGAUCAAAGUGCCACUUUUACUGGAGUAGAUGGUCGAAUGUAUAUAAC
rnacentral:misc_RNA from 1 species